AUUUAUAAAAAAAUUGUGGUCAAGGCUACAGAUUAUGUUGAGCAGGUACAUGAUGGGAAAUUGAUGGUGAAUGGUGAAAUUCAAAAUGAAAAUUACAUAUUGGAGCCUCUUGCCUAUGAAAUAGAACCAAUCUUGGAGCUCAAAAGUUGCAUAUAUUCAAGAAGUCGUGAAGACCAAGUUUUGUAAACUCCUAGAGACAGAGGUAUGGGAGUUUAGGGGUUGUGUUCCAAGGUU